rnacentral:rRNA from 1 species
ACACGUGGGCAACCUGCCUCAUAGAGGGGAAUAGCCUUCCGAAAGGGAGAUUAAUACCGCAUAAGAUUGUAGUACCGCAUGGUACAGCAAUUAAAGGAGCAAUCCGCUAUGAGAUGGGCCCGCGGCGCAUUAGCUAGUUGGUGAGGUAACGGCUCACCAAGGCGACGAUGCGUAGCCGACCUGAGAGGGUGACCGGCCACAUUGGGACUGAGACACGGCCCAGACUCCUACGGGAGGCAGCAUG